UGGAAACACCCUUCCCUUCGGGGCUCUCUGCAAGGUGCUGCAUGGUUGUCGUCAGCUCGUGCCGUGAGGUGUCGGGUUAAGUCCCAUAACGAGCGCAACCCUUACCGUUAGUUGCCAACAGGUCAAGCUGGGGACUCUAGCGGGACUGCCACCGUAAGGUGAGAGGAAGGUGGGGAUGACGUCAAAUCAGCACGGCCCUUAUGUCCAGGGCUACACACGUGUUACAAUGGCCGGUACAGAGGGCAGCUACUUCGCGAGAAGAUGCUAAUCUUAAAAGCCGGUCUCAGUUCGGAUUGGAGUCUGCAACCCGACUCCAUGAAGUUGGAUUCGCUAGUAAUCGCGCAUCAGCCAUGGCGCGGUGAAUACGUUCCCGGGCCUUGUACACACCGCCCGUCAAACCAUGGGAGCUGGGGGUGCCUGAAGUCUGUGACCGCAAGGAGCGGCCUAGGGUAAAACCAGUGACCGGGGUUAAGUCGUAACAAGGUAGCCGUACCGGAAGG
rnacentral:rRNA from 1 species